rnacentral:rRNA from 1 species
AGGACGAACGCUGGCGGCGUGCUUAACACAUGCAAGUCGAGCGGAAAGGCCCUUCGGGGUACUCGAGCGGCGAACGGGUGAGUAACACGUGAGCAACCUGCCCUUAGCUUCGGGAUAGCUCCGGGAAACCGGAAUUAAUACCGAAUAUGACUGCGGCUGACAUCAGCCACGGUGGAAAGUUUUUCGGCUAGGGAUGGACUCGCGGCCUAUCAGCUAGUUGGUGGGUAAUGGCCUACCAAGGCGACGACGGGUA